UAUAGUUUACACAAAACAUUAGACUGUGAAUCUAAAAAUAGAAAACACAUUUUCUUAUUUACC
rnacentral:tRNA from 1 species